UUCUUUGUCUAUCAUCACCCGACACCGACGCUACUUCGUUACAACUGCUUAGCUUAGUUUAGCUUCCGUCGCGGCUAAUGUAAAUCUCCUUUAUCUGGUUUCACCCUAACUUCACUCCUCCGCCUUACCUUUUUGUUUUUCCCCUUCUCUCUCCGUUUCUUCAGAUUUCUUAGUUAAGUAAGAUGGAACAUGUUACACAUCUCUCUAUCCUUAACUAUGGUACAUGUGUCCGUGGCAAAGUGGGAAAGGGUGAGUGGGUGGAAAGAGUUUGAAGAUGCCGACUUAUUUUCCCAUUCUAGAAUGAGCAGAAACGCGUAUGAAUGCAGACGUAUUUUUGAUUGAUUCCAUUUGUGAUCGUGGUAUCUAUGCAUUCUCAUAUUGAUGGCAUCCUGUUGAUGUCAACAGCAUGCCACAUCAUGCUAUUGCAGCUAAAUAUCAUUUUGGAAAAUCUCUUGCAUUUAUGGUGAAAGAAAAUGUCGUUGUACCUUACUGUCGAACAUGACUAGCUGAAGAGUUGCCUUGCUAUAAGACAUGGUUGAAGCGAAAACUUUUGUAUGCACGAAGAAGGGUCUUUUAUAUGGCAUAAUUUGAAACAGGUGUGAAAUACUGGCCUAUGAUACGCAAUUUGAUUGGUGUAUGACUAACUGCUUUUGGUUCAAGUUAAUGAAUAAUUUUAGAAGAUGGGAGUCUUCAGUCCCCACCUCAUGAGAAUUUCGGUAGGUUGAAGGUAGCAUUCGAAGUUGGUUUCGUAUGAGAAUGACAACAUGGUAAUGGUAGCUUCAUGUGUUUACUUCUUGUACUGCCUGCCUUUAGUUUUAAUAUUUCAAGAGCGACAUGCUAGAGAUUAAUAUACAGGUGAGGUCGGUGAGACAAUCUGGCAUGGAAUAUUCUUAUAUGAGUUUUGAUAAUAGAU